rnacentral:lncRNA from 1 species
GACAAAUCAAAGAGAACAGCCUGUUAAGAUGACUCUUGGCAACUGCCAAGGAGGCUGGCAAAAACCGGACUGCACAGCUGAAACCCGUGGUUAAGCGUCUGACUGACGAGGCUGCAAAAACCGGACUGCACAGCUGAAACCCGUGCUUAAGCGUCUGACUGACGAGGCUGCAAAAACCGGACUGCACAGCUGAAACCCGUGCUUAAGCGUCUGACUGACGAGGCUGCAAAAACCGGACUGCACAGCUGAAACCCAUGGUUAAGCGUCUGACUGACGAGGCUGCAAAAACCGGACUGCACAGCUGAAACCCGUGGUUAAGCGUCUGACUGACGAGGCUGCAAAAACCGGACUGCACAGCUGAAACCCAUGGUUAAGCGUCUGACUGACGAGGCUGCAAAAACCGGACUGCACAGCUGAAACCCGUGGCUAAGCGUCUGACUGACGAGGCUGCAAAAACCGGACUGCACAGCUGAAACCCAUGCUUAAGCGUGUGACUGACGAGGCUGCAUCUCCGCUUCACUGGGCCUCUUUGUGCCUCAGUCGCCCUCACCCAGAGAUGAGGACCACAAAACCAGAACCUCAGUUUACGGUGGCCAGCUCACUGCCUGACAGACAGCCCGGAUAGACACAGGUUACUUUGUAUUUUGCUGGGAAACACUUGUUUAUAAAUACAUUAUUUUACUAUUUUGUAUGUAUAUUUUACAUAUUUGCUGUUACAUACGAUAGUCAGUUACUUCUGAGCUCCAAUCAUGCAUCAAGCAACAAGAUGCAGCAAAUGAGAAAACAACAUACACGCAACGGUUCUUCCGUUUCUGGCAUACAUGUGAGCUGGGUAGGAACCUCCAAAGCACACGACACCCAUCUCGCCACCAAGUUUUCAUUUCAGCAGAGCAAUCCUAGGAUGAACCACUCUGCCCACUGGUUGUUAGUUAUGCAUGUUUAAAGCAGUUUUUCAAAGCUUGUUCUAGCUUGUGUUCAAGGCUGAGUUUGUAGAGAUUUAUGUGGACAUUUAUUUUUUUCCUGGUCAGGCCAUGUGGCAUGCGGGAUCUUAGUUCCCAGACCAGGGAUGGAACAUAUGCCCCCCGCGCUGGCAGUGUGGAGUCUUAACCACUGGACCCCCAGGGAAGCCUGUAUGCAGCCUUCUUGAAAAACAUAAAAUCUCUCCCCAGGGAAUUUUCCUCCCUCCUUGAGGCAGUGCUGGGCCUCCCUGUUGUUACUUCCUCUAAGGGUUUUCUAUCUCCACUCAAACCACUGCCAUUCAUUUUUAAGAGAGAAAGGGAGGAGGCCGGACGAGAACAGAGAAAUUAGCGCCUGACAGGUUCUGAAAGAUGGAAUGGCAACUGAAGGCAGUCGUUUGAAAGCAGAAUGUGAGAGAGAAACCAGCAGCUCAAGGAGAGAAAAACGUGCUGUCAAAGAGAGAACUGAUUUCAGGAAGACUCAAUUUCUGAAAAUCCCCUUAGAAGCAAGGCCAGCCUGACGCCGGGUCUAAGGAAUCA